CACGUAGGGGGCGAGCGUUGUCCGGAUUUAUUGGGCGUAAAGAGCUCGUAGGUGGCUUAGUAAGUCGGGUGUGAAACCUCCAGGCUCAACCCCGGGAGGCGGGCUGGAUACUGUCAAGCUCGAGUCCGGAAGAGGCGAGGUGGAAUUCCGUGGAUUCGUGAGCGGUGAAAUGACGCAGAGUAUCAGGAGGAACACCAAUGGCGAAGGCAGCUCGCUGGGACGGUACUGACGCUGAGACGCGAAAGCGUGGGGAGCAAACAGG
rnacentral:rRNA from 1 species